AUUGAACGCUGGCGGCAUGCUUUACACAUGCAAGUCGAACGGCAGCGCGGGCUUCGGCCUGGCGGCGAGUGGCGAACGGGUGAGUAAUACAUCGGAACGUGCCCAGUAGUGGGGGAUAGCUCGGCGAAAGCCGGAUUAAUACCGCAUCCGACCUGAGGGUGAAAGCGGGGGUUCUUCGGACCUCGCGCUUUUGGAGCGGCCGAUGGCAGAUUAGCUAGUUGGUGGGGUAAAGGCCUACCAAGGCGACGAUCUGUAGCUGGUCUGAGAGGACGACCAGCCACACUGGGACUGAGACACGGCCCAGACUCCUACGGGAGGCAGCAGUGGGGAAUUUUGGACAAUGGGCGAAAGCCUGAUCCAGCAAUGCCGCGUGUGUGAUGAAGGCCUUCGGGUUGUAAAGCACUUUUGGCGGGAACGAAAAGGACUGUGCCAAUACCACGGUUCGAUGACGGUACCCGCAGAAUAAGCACCGGCUAACUACGUG
rnacentral:rRNA from 1 species